rnacentral:rRNA from 1 species
GACAGAGGGUGCGAACGUUGCUCGGAAUCACUGGGCGUAAAGCGCGUGUAGGCGGGUGAUCAAGUCAGGUGUGAAAUCCCUGGGCUCAACCCAGGAACUGCAUCUGAAACUGGUCGCCUUGAGUGCUGGAGAGGGAAGCGGAAUUCCUGGUGUAGAGGUGAAAUUCGUAGAUAUCAGGAGGAACACCGGUGGCGAAGGCGGCUUCCUGGACAGUUACUGACGCUGAGGAGCGAAAGCGUGGGGAGCAAACAGG